rnacentral:tmRNA from 1 species
GGGGGCGAACUUGGGUUCGACGGAGGUAAAGAAGCUUAGGUUGCAUACCGAGGUUCCAUCUGCUCGUAAAACAGGUGGGAGUAAACACAGACGCAGACGAUUAUGCGUAUGCUCUAGCCGCAUAAAGGCUAGCGCCCUCCCCGUCUUGCCUGCGUGACGGGAAAGGGUGCCGACUAGCAGGCUGGCCGACCCACUUCACCUGUAGGUAGGGAAGGCGAGACCGAUUACAGGUUAGCUUCGAAACUCCUUUGCCCGCUGAGGACUUCGGAGCGAACAUCUUGCAACGGGCUAAGUAUGUAGAAGCCUAAGUGGAAUAUUUUCGGACGGGGGUUCGACUCCCCCCGCCUCCACCA